rnacentral:lncRNA from 1 species
CUGGAAAUUAGGAUUGGAAUCCUGAACUCCUAAAUCCAAACUACAGACUGGAAGUUACCAAAAAAUGUCACAGUGGUUCCUUGAUCAGGUAGAAAGAUGACAGAGCCCAACAUACCAGAACCUAGAAAGGAGGCGAAGGAGGCGGUCUAGAGGGAAGAGCACUUUGGUCAAAGGAUCAGGUGCAUAAAUGCGGAGGAAUGAGGAUGCCCGGCUUGCUGGAGGAUCAAGGGAAGUCCAGAUGGCCUGCAGGAGCCAAGAAGUCUGGAGCAGCCAAAAAAACACAAAAGAAGUGCAACAAAAGAAGCUCCUGCCUUGACUGAUUGACCAGCCUUACGACGUUCCACCAUUAUGAAUUGUUCCUGUCCUGCCCCAACUGAUCAAUCGACCUUGUGACAUUCUUCUUCUGGACAAUGAAUCUUAUGAUCUCCCCACCAUGGACCCUGUGACCCCCUCCUCUGCUGACAAUAGAUAACCACCUCUAACUGUAACAUUCCACUGCCUACCUCAGUCCUAUAAAGCUGCCCCUCUCCUAUCUACCUUCGCUGACUCUCUUUUCGUACUCAGCCCACUUGCACCCAAGUGAAUAAACA